AGUCCUAUGGUGUAGUGGUUAUCACAUUCGCUUUACAUGCGAAGGGUCUCCGGUUCGAUCCCGGAUGGGACUA
rnacentral:tRNA from 1 species